rnacentral:ncRNA from 1 species
UAGGGAAAAAGGCAAACUUAUUGAAAGAUAAGGACGCAAAGCUGCGGGUCUAAGGUGGACAACACUAAGAUAGCCGGGCUGCCAGA